GACGAACGCUGGCGGCGUGCCUAAUACAUGCAAGUAGAACGCUGAAGACAGGAGUUUGCUCUUCUUGGUUGAUUUGCGAACGGGUGAGUAACGCGUGGGUAACCUGCCUCGUAGAGGGGGAUACCUAUUGGAAACGAUAGCUAAUACCGCAUAAAUUGGAUUAUUUCAUUAUACUCCCUUUAAAUGUGCAAAUUCAUCACUACCAGAUGGACCUGCGUUGUAUUAGCUAGUUGGUGGGGUAACGGCAUACCACGACGACGAUACAUAGACGACCAGAGAGGGUAAGCGGCAUAACUGGGACGAGAAGACGGCCAAGACUACUACGGGAGAGAGAAGUAGGAAAUUUUCGGCAAUGGACGGAAUGCGGACCAAGCGACGCCGCGUGAGUGAAGAAGGUAGUCGGGUCGUAAAGCUCUGUUGGAAGAGAAGGACGAGUGUGAGAGUGAAAAGUUCACAUUAUGACGGUAUCGUAACAGAAAGAGACGGCUAACUACGUG
rnacentral:rRNA from 1 species